rnacentral:rRNA from 1 species
GAUGAACGCUGGCGGCGUGCCUAAUACAUGCAAGUCGAGCGAACAGAUGAGGAGCUUGCUCCUCUGACGUUAGCGGCGGACGGGUGAGUAACACGUGGAUAACCUACCUAUAAGACUGGGAUAACUUCGGGAAACCGGAGCUAAUACCGGAUAAUAUAUUGAACCGCAUGGUUCAAUAGUGAAAGACGGUUUUGCUGUCACUUAUAGAUGGAUCCGCGCCGCAUUAGCUAGUUGGUAAGGUAACGGCUUACCAAGGCAACGAUGCGUAGCCGACCUGAGAGGGUGAUCGGCCACACUGGAACUGAGACACGGUCCAGACUCCUACGGGAGGCAGCAGUAGGGAAUCUUCCGCAAUGGGCGAAAGCCUGACGGAGCAACGCCGCGGGAGUGAUGAAGGUCUGCGGAUCGUAAAACUCUGUUAUUAGGGAAGAACAAAUGUGUAAGUAACGAUGCACGUCUGGACGGUACCUAAUCAGAAAGCCACGGCUAACUACGU